rnacentral:tRNA from 1 species
ACUCAAAUAGUUUAGUCUAAAAUAUUAAUCUGUGGCGUUAAUGAAGCUUAGUUGCUUUGAGUA